UAGGCAACCCCCCACACAUAGAAGAAAACCACCAUCAGCCUGCACAGAGCAAUGCCAUUAUCCUCCUUGAAGCUCAUACCCUGCCCUGUUGGCUAAUGACAAAGGGAGGCUUGGGGCUGGCUUAAAAAGCAGUUGGAGGGAAGGGAACACUGCUUGCACAGAUCUUGUCUGCAUCCAGUGGUGCAAUUCUUUGUGUCCCUCUGAAGAAAGAUGGGCGACUUCAUUUACCAAGAGGGUUGGGAGAUUGAGUCAUUCCUUUGAUCAGCUUUUAUCAUCACCAGAACCAUCCUCCAAGAAAACAAACAAACAAACAACAACAGCAAACAAUUAAUGUUAUUGGAAGACAUCAGACUUUGUGCCAGAUAUCUGACCUUAGUGCUGGAAUAUAUUUCUGCUAUGUGUAAUGUAUAUUUCAAAAGAAAGCAUUCUCCUUCUCUCCCCACCCCCAAUAAUUUAAGAUAUGGCUAAUUAAUUGUCCUCCCUAUGGCAAUUGGCUGUGGUUUUUAUUAACUUGCAAAUCAAAAGAAGAGACUGAAAAAUGACAAGCUAAUUUUUUUAAUAAGAUACGUCUUUCGUCUUUAUUCAUAUUUUAUUACCCAGCAGUCUGUAAAGUUAUCUAUUUAAUUUGGGAAAACACGUUAUUGCGGUUUGAGUAAUCUCCCAUGGAAAAAAAUAAAGAUUAUUCUGCAACCACA